UCCGGUGGCCAUUUGAUUAAUUGUUCAGCAGUCUUAUGGCUUGGGGUAGAAGCUGUUAAGGAGCCUUUUGGUCCUAGAAGGGGAGAGGUGAUUGGCGCUCUGGUACCGCUUGCCGGUAGCAGAGAAAACAGUCUAUGACUUGGGUGACUGGAGUGUCUGACAAUUUUAUGGGCUUUCUUCUGACACUGCCUAUUAUAUAGGUCCUGGUUUGCAGGAAGCUUGGCCCCAGUGAUGUACUGGGCUGUACGCACUACCCUCUGUAGCGCCUUACGGUCAGAUGGCGAGCAGUUGCCAUACAGGGCGGUGAUGUAACCGGUCAGGAUGCCUCGAUGGUGCAGCUGUAGAACCUUCUCCUGAGGGGGAAAAGGUUUCAUCGUGCCCUCUUUACAACUGUCUUGGUGUGUUUGUACCAUGAUAGAUUGUUGAGGAUGUGGACACCAAGGAACUUGAAACUCUCAAACCAUCUCCACUACAGCCCCGCUGAUGUUAAUGGGGGCCUGUUCAGCCCACCUUUUCCUGUAGUCAACGAUCAACUCCUUUGUCUUGCUCACAUUGAGGGAGAGGUUGUUGUCCUGGCACUACACUGCCAGUUCUCUGACCUCCUCCCUAUAGGCUGUCUCAUCUGUGUCGUGAUCAGGCUUACCACUGUUGUGUCGUCUGCAAACUUAAUGAUGGUGUUUGAGUCAUGCGUGACUACACAGUCGUGGGUGAACAGGGAGUACAGGAGGGGACUAAGUACACACCCCUGAGGGGCCCCAGUGUUGAGGAUGAGCAUGGCAGAAGUGUUGUUGCCCACCCUAACUACCUUGCGGUGACCGUCAGGAAGUCCAGGAUCCAGUUUCAGAGGGAGGUGUUUAGUCCAAGGGUCCUAAGCUUAGUGAUGAGAUUCGUGGGCACUAUAGUGUUGAACGCUGAGCUGUAGUCAAUGAACAGCAUUCUCACUUUAGUGUUCCUUUUGUCCAGGUGGGAAAAGGCAUUGUGGAGUGCGAUUGAGAUUGCGCCAUCGGUGGAUCUGUUGGGGCGCUAUGCAAAUUGGAGUGGGUCUAGGGUAUCCGGGAGGAUGCUGUUGAUGUGAGCCAUGACCAGCAUUUCAAAGCAAUUCAUGGCUACCAACGUGAGUGCUAUGGGGCUGUAAUCAUUUAGGCAGGUUACCUUCGCUUCCUUGGGCACAGGGACUAUGGUGGUCUGCUUGAAACAUGUAGGUAUUACAGACUCGGUCAGGGAGAUGUCAGUGAAGACACUUGCCAGUUGGUCCGCGCAUGCUUUGAGUACACGUCCUGGUAAUCCAUCUGGCCCGGCAGCUUUGUGAAUGUUGACCUGUUUAAAGUUCUUGCUCACAUAGGCUACCGAGAGCGCUAUCACACAGUCAUCCAGAACAGCUGGUGCUCUCAUGCAUGCUUCAGCGUUGCUUGCCUCGAAGCGAGCAUAAAAUACAUUUAGCUCAUCUGGUAGGCUUGCGUCACUGGGUAGCUUGAGUCUGGGUUUCCCUUUGUAGUCUGUAAUAGUUUUCAAGCCCUGCCACAUCCGACGAGCGUCAGAGCCAUUGUAGUAGGAUUCAUUAUUAAUCAUGUAUUGAUGCUUUGCUUGUUUGAUGGAUCGUCUGAGGGCAUAGUGGGAUUUCUUAUCAGCGUCUGGAUUAGUGUCCCGCUCCUUGAAAGCGGCAGCUCUAGCCUUUAGCUUGAUGCGGAUGUUGCCUGGAUUCCAUGGUUUCUGGUUGGGAUAUGUAGGUACGGUCACUGUGGGGACUACGUCGUUGAUGUGCUUAUUGAUGAAGCCGAUGACACACAGCCCCAUCCCUCGUCUUACCAGACAUAGCUUCUCUGUUCUUCCGGUACAUUGCAAAUCCCUCCAGCUCUAUAUUAUCUGUGUCGUCGUUCAGCCACGACUCUGUUAAACAGAAGAUAUUACAGUUCUUAAUGUCCCGUUGGUAGGAUAAUUGUAAUCAUCGGUCAUCAAUUUUUUAUCUCCAAUGAUUGCAUGUUAGCAAGUAGAAUUGAUGGCAGUGGGAGUUUACUCGCUCGCCUACGGAAUCUCAAAAGGCAGCCCGAUCUGCAUGCUAUUUUCCUCCAUAUUUUCUUCAUUCAAAUGAAGGGGAUCUGUGUCACGUUCUGACCUUAGUUCUUUUAUUAUGUCUUUGUUUUAGUAUGGUCAGGGCGUGAGUUGGGUAGGUUGUCUAUGUUCCUUUUCUAUGUUUUGGGAUUUCUGGUAUGGCCUGGUAUGGUUCUCACUCAGAGGCAGCUGUUUAUCAUUGUCUCUGAUUGAGAACCAUAUUUAGGUAGAGUGGUUUCACUUUUGAGUUGUGGGUGAUUAUUUUCCGUGUUAGUGUUGGUUACCACACUGGGACCAUUUCGUUUGUUUCACUUUGUUAUUUUGUAUUUUUGCAGUGUUCAUUUUGUCUCAUUAAAAUGGACACUUAAGACGCUGCAAAUUGGUCCGACCUCUCUUACUCCUCAUCAGAGGAAGAUGACGAACGUUACAAUCUGGGCCUGUUCCAGGGAGAGCAGUAAAUCUUUCUCAUCUGACUCAUGAAAGGAAAAAGCUUCAUCUAGUUUGUGUGUGUUUCCGGUGUCCUGGAACGCACCCUGUCUGGUUGCCGGGCGAAUUAGCUUGUUGGGAGAUCGAUGUUCACCCGCACCUGUAUCCCAUCAGUAAUCUGCACACCUGUCCUGAUCAUCACCUCUCCCCUUCAAAAGCUCUGACCUGACAUCCAUUCCCCGCCGGAUCGUUAGCCAUGGACAUUACUCACCCGAAUCAUUUACCCCAUUCCCGCCUGGUCGUCGGAGGAUUCCACUACCCCAUUGGAUCCACCUAUUUACUCCCAUCAACUCACCACCGCUGCCCGCUACGCCACCUGGAUAUAUCUACCCAUUCACAUUCACUUGUAAAUAAAUACUCACCUUCUUCCUACUCCUUGUCCUGGUCUGCUUCUGGGUUCGAUUUUGAAAGAAAGUGACACUUAACUUUCCAGCUUUCUUGAUAUACAAUACUUGUUAUUUACAUCUGUUUGGAAUCCUAUCUUGCAUCAUGCCUAUAAUGUUGUGAAAUCUAAAUGUAUCCACGGUCAUAAUCAUAACCAUUGUCAACCCUCGUCAAUUAUGUUACAUAGCUAGCUCG